ACACGUACCGGACGAACGUUAUUCGGAAUUACUGGGCUUAAAGAGUGCGUAGGCGGCUUUGUAGGUGGGGUGUGAAAGCCCACGGCUCAACCGUGGAAUUGCGCUUCAAACCACAAGGCUUGAGGGAGACAGGGGUGAGCGGAACUGAUGGUGGAGCGGUGAAAUGCGUUGAUAUCAUCAGGAACACCAGUGGCGAAGGCGGCUCACUGGGUCUCUUCUGACGCUGAGGCACGAAAGCUAGGGUAGCGAACGGGAUUAGAAACCCCGGUAGUCC
rnacentral:rRNA from 1 species